UACGAAGGGGGCUAGCGUUGCUCGGAAUCACUGGGCGUAAAGGGUGCGUAGGCGGGUCUUAAGUCAGGGGUGAAAUCCUGGAGCUCAACUCCAGAACUGCCUUUGAUACUGAAGAUCUUGAGUUCGGGAGAGGUGAGUGGAACUGCGAGUGUAGAGGUGAAAUUCGUAGAUAUUCGCAAGAACACCAGUGGCGAAGGCGGCUCACUGGCCCGGUACUGACGCUGAGGUGCGAAAGCGUGGGGAGCAACAGGG
rnacentral:rRNA from 1 species